rnacentral:rRNA from 1 species
AUGCUUGGGGUAGUAAACAGAUAUGGGCUCGAAACUUAAAGAAUUUGGCGGUAUCUAAGUCUAGUUAGAGGAACCUGUGCUGUAAACGAUAAACCACGAAUAUCUUACUUUACGUUGAAAUUUCAGUACGUAUACCGCCAUUAUUAGAUAAUCUUUGAAGGGGUUUGUCGGGAUAAAUUGAGAAUUUUGGAUAUUAGGUCAAGGUGCGGCUAAUAGUAAAGUUGACAUGGGUUACAUUGAGAUCAGUUGGUGCGGAUAAGCUUAGUAAAGUGAGUUUAGUAAGGUGGAUUUAAUAGU